GAGGACUCGAAACGUCAACUCUUUUCUUCUCCGCCGAUGCUACCAGACCUGCUGAAUUUUUCCAGGGUCUUACUGCAGCAUGAGUCAUGUAGUAUCAUAACACUGCAGUUUGAGUCACAUGCUGCAAUAGCACUGCAGUUGAAUUCAUGAGAUGCAGAUUGCACGUAUCUCCUACCAACACAGCAUAAAAUCCAAAGAUACUAAUUUGGUUUUGAUUCCUGGCGAGGUUCCACAGAAGUCAAUACCCUUCCAAUGUCACACCCAAGUGGCAAUUAUUCACAAGUGUGCGUGAACAGCAAGUGCUGGCAGACUAUUUGGACUCAAGAGAGUAUCACAAGAGAAUUUAUGCCUACUGUUACUUGAGGUCAUCCUGACACUCCCACAAAGAGUUAAACUGGCAGAAAUACUAAGAACCCAAUUUUAUUUUUCCCUCCCCAGUCCAAUGGCACUGAUAGCUUUGCCAACAAUCACUAGUUCAGGCUAGACCCCAUCAAUAUCUACCAGGUCUCCCUUUCCUCUACCAAAAUCAUCUCCUAUCCAAGAAUCAUCCUGGAGAGUAAACGUCAUUCCCCAUUUUUUAGUUUUACUACAAAAUGUCUCCUGAAACCACUCUCCCAUGCAUCCUCACUUCCAACAAGUGCAAGAACUCAUGGACUUAUUUGUCACCAAUAGAGAGAUAUCAACUCAGCUACCUCUUUGACUUCUCCCCUUACCCAAGUAAAAUGUGUCCUCAGAGCCCCCGUCAUGGCCUGACCUCUGCCUCUUUGUAGUCUCUCUUUUCCCUCGUGCUCAUUUCGAGCUCAUCUUGUCCAUGAGACCUGUCACCCGCCAUUUAACUCCAUUCCCAUCAAACUGCUGAUUACACAAUUUUUUAUCCUGGGUUUUUAAUCUGGUUUUUUUGGCCUCCUCAGGAGAUUAAAUGGCUUCUUGGUUAGUUAAGGAAUGAAUGCAUUGUGAUGCACAGGAUAUCACAAUUUUAUGGGGGACUCUGAUUAGACUAAAUGGAUCUUUCCCUGUCUGUCAUUUUUCUUAUAAUUUGAAAUCUCGUGAGAUCUGCCACAAUUUAAUCCAUGGGAAAUUACAUGAUAGUUUAAGCACCUUAGCUCACCUGAUUUGUUUGCCAUGUGGUUCUCAUCUAGUGCUUUCCAUAUUUCCCAGCUUAAUUUAGUAAUAAGGAUCUGGCACAAAUAGGGUUAAUAUGGGACUGAGUACAGUACUGCCCACAGAGUGUUGUAAGAAAACAUACCCACAUCCAGGGUCAGCCUAGUGUUGGCCAGAGCCUUGUUCAUCAGCAAGCAUAGAGACAGCUCCCAGCUUUUACCCUUUACUGUACAUUUGUAAAUAGUUCAAGGGUCAAUAAGACUUGCAGUUAACCUACAUAUGACUACAAAGACUUCUUCAGACCUACUAAACUUAAACCAACACCCUACAACACAUGUCUCCAUUGCAAACCAUCUUCUCAAACCUCUUUCCCAAACCCCCUUCCCAAUCCUCCUACACUCACCUCCAAGAAUAAGUGUGAGGAGCUCUUGGAGUUCUUUGUCACUAUGAUCAGGACAAUUAGAUCAGCUGCAUUUGCCACUUCUCUCCCUUUCCCAAGCACACUGGGCCAAACUUCCUCUAAAGCUCCCGCUCCACUUCCUGCUCCCUUGACCUUAUUCCCACGAAACUGCUGACCAUCCACCCUCCGUUCCUGGUUCACAUGUUAGCUGAUAUUAACAGCUUCCUCACUUCAGGUUCCAAACCUCCUUUAAAUCUGCCAUCAUCACCCCUCUCCUAAAAAAAAACCCUUGAUCCCACUGUCCUUGCAAACAAAGAUUCCAUCUCCAACCUCCCUUUCCUUUCCAAAGUCCUCAAACCUGUUGUCACCUCUCAAAUCUCUGCCCAGUUUGCCUGGAACUCCAUGUUUGAAUCCCACCAAUUGGGUUUCCAUCCCUGCCAUAGUACUGAAAGGACUUUUAUCAAAGUUGCAAAUGACUUCUCAUGGGUGUGACAAAGGUAAACUUCCCAUCCUAGUUGUUCUCAACCUGCAUGCAGCCUUUGACAUAGUUCACCUAUAUCCUCCUCCAUUGCCUUUCCACUGCUAUCCAGCUGGGUGAAACCAUCUCACCCGAUUCCAUUCUUAUCUAAGUUUAGCCAUUGUAUCACUUGCAAUGGGGUUUCUUGCUGUUCCUGUUCCGAUACCUCUGGUGUCUCCCAAGGAUUCAUCCUUGGUCCCCUCCCAUUUCACAUCAACAUGCUUGGCAGCAUCAUCCAAAAGCACAACGUUAGUUUUCACAUGUAACCUGACGAUACCGAGCUUUACCUCGCCACCACCUCUCUUGGCUCCUCCACUGUUGCUAAAUUAUCAGACUAUACCAUAUGUUUUUGGUUCCCAAUCCAAACUCAGCUCCCUAGCUACUGACUCAAUCUCUUUCCCUAGCAACAGUCUUAGAUUAAACCAACCUAUUCACAAUUUUGGUAACAUAAUUGACCUCAUCUACAUAUUUGCGCCUUCAUUAAGACCAUCUAUUUCCACCUCCGUAACAUCACCUGACUUCACCCAUCUCAGCUCAUCUGCUGCUGAGAUCUUCAUUGUCAUUCUUAUCUCUACACUUUCCGAUUCCAACACACUCUUGGCUGAUCUACGACAUGUGCCGUCCAUAAACUUGAGGUCAUCUGAAACUCUGCUCCCUGUAACUUGCACCAAGUCCCAAUCACCUAUAACCCUGUACUCACUGACCUACAUUCCCCCUGGUCAAGCAAUGUCUUAAUAUUAAAACUCACAUCCUUGUUUUCAAAUACCUUCAUGGCCCACCCCUGAUCCCUAUCUGUAAUCUCCUUCAAUAUCUCAAACCUCAGGGAUUCUUUUAUAUUCAUUCAUGGGGUGUGUAUGUUGCUGGCUAGACCAGCAUUGAUUGCCCAUCCCUAAUUGCCCUUGAGAAGGUGGUUGAGAGCUACUUUCUUCAACCACUGCAGUCCACAUGUUGUAGGAACACCCACAGUGCUGUUAGGAAAGGGGUUCCAGAAUUUUGACCCAGCAACAGUGAGGGAACGGUGAAAUAGUUCCAAAUCAGGAUGGUGAGCAGCUUGGAGAGAAACUGCAGGUGCUAGUAUUCCCAUGUCUUUCUAGGUGGUAGAGGUUGUGGGUUAGGAAGGUGCUGUCAAAGAAGCCUUGGUGAGUUGCUGCAGUGCAUCUUGUAGAUGGUACACAGUGCAUGGCUGGUGGAAGAAGUGAAUGUUUAUUAUGAUGGAUGAGUGCCAAUCAAAGGGGCUGCUUUGUCCUUGAUGAUGUCGAGCUUAAGUGUUGCUGGAGCUUCACCUGUCUAGGCAAAUGGAGAGUAUUCCAUCACACUCCUGACUUGUGCCUUGUAGAUGGUGGCCACGCUUUGGAGAGUCAGGGGGUGAGUUACUCUCUGCAGAAUUCCCAACCUCUGACCUGCUCUAGUAG